GGAUGUGAGGGUGAUCUGGCUGUGACAUCUGUCACCCACUGAACACCAGGAUUGAUUCAGCUAAUCUGGCUGGCUAGGAGGGUGUUCCUUUCCUCCCUCACCACUCCAUGAGUCCCUCCCACCCGAAGCUGCGCUAUCAGUCAAAGAGGAGGGACAGGUCUUCUGUUGAGAGUAUACAAGUAGUUGUGCUCCCCUGCUAGAACUUCCAAACAAGCUCUCAAGGAAGAACUAUAAUCAGACUGAAAAACAAGCCAUGUAGCAAUCAG
rnacentral:snRNA from 1 species